AUGGAAAAGCAAGCCGACAAGGCCGCGGCGCCGGCCGACGACGGCAUCCACGAGGAGUUGCCGGCCUCCGCCCAGAACGGGAGGCCCGGAUCUGAGCCGGCGGCCGCACCCGAGGUGGAGGUGCAGCUCUUCCGGCGGGGCCGGGGGCCGGUGGCCGUGUUCCGGUCGCCCCUGGGCGGGUACACGCAGGACCAGCUGGAGGUGGGGGACAUCCUGGAGAAGCACGGCCUCAAGUGCGUCUUCGCCUUCGACGCCGCCUCCCGCGCGCGCGGCGUCGCCAUCCGAUUCAACCCCCGCAACGGCCGCUCCCUCCUCCCCUACGCCGCCGACUCCACCAUCUUCCUUGACGGCGAGCCCAAGGAUCCUUUGCUGAAGCCCAUCACGAAGGUGAUGCUCACUGUCUGCGCCAUGACAGUGGUAGUUGCGGUGUUACUGAAGGAGGGGAAGAUGCCCGAGUGGCUUAAGGGAACUAAGCUGGGCAACCUGAAAUUCCCACCGUGGGUGCUGGCUUGCAUGGUCAUUGUCUUCAUGAGGCUCCGGAAGAGAACCAGGGAUGUCAUGAAGAAGAUUGGCUGGUCCUCGUGA
rnacentral:rRNA from 1 species